rnacentral:tRNA from 1 species
GGGGAUAUAGCGAAGUGGUAUCGCGUUUCAUUUGCAGUGUCGCUUCGACAACAGCACAUUGAAAAGAUCCUGGGUUCAAUCCCCAGUGUCUCCA